rnacentral:rRNA from 1 species
UACGAAGGGGGCUAGCGUUGUUCGGAAUUACUGGGCGUAAAGCGCACGUAGGCGGAUAUUUAAGUCAGGGGUGAAAUCCCAGAGCUCAAUUCUGGAACUGCCUUUGAUACUGGGUAUCUUGAGUAUGGAAGAGGUAAGUGGGAUUGCGAGUGUAGAGGUGAAAUUCGUAGAUAUUCGCAGGAACACCAGUGGCGAAGGCGGCUCACUGGUCCAUUACUGACGCUGAGGUGCGAGAGCGUAGGGAGCAAGCAGG